rnacentral:misc_RNA from 1 species
CCUGGCCCGCGCACACACAAGAUGGCGUCAGAGAACGAGAAGCACGAACACUAAGGAAUUUGUUCAGUGGUGUCUGUGUCUGUGAAUUAUAUUGAAGGAAAAAGAGUGUUUUGUUUAUAAAUUUAAUUGCAAAAACUGCACAUCGUCACACGGGGCGCGUGCACACACAUCGGCGGACACGCACACCCACGCCCAGGCGACACGCAAAACGCAAAACCGAGUGUGUGUUAUCAAUGGAGUGUGUGUUCCCCAACGCCAAGUGAAUUUUUUUCGUUGAGACCGAGGGACGGAAAAAAAUGGCGCCCGCAGCCAGAGCAACUUGACUUUCUUUUCGGUCUAUAUACAAGUUGUUCGCCCCCAUCUCGUCGUCGGCGAGCGAAUGCGGUGAUUUUAUUUCGAUUUCGUCGCAGUGCGAUAUAUCACAAGAAGAAACCUAACGAAUAUUGAUGAAAAAGUGCUUGUUGGACCCCCCCAAACGUAUUUGAAUUUGUUGUGUACAUUUUGGCUUCGAACACAGCCGCAAAAAUACCAUUACCAAUUUCCACUUACUACUACUAGAGAGGAGGCUAGUAUUUUGUACGUGCUUUAGAAUACAUACAUACAUACCUACAUAUACCACAAGCAAGCGAGAAGUGCAAUUACAUUUGCGUUUGGAAAUUUUGCGCUUUUUUCUCUUCCGUCCUCCCACCCAACAAAAAAAAAAAAAAAAUAUCCCCGCUUCCCCCUCCUCUCUCUCUUUCUUAACCCGCAUUGUGCUAAAUAAUGUGCGCCGCCCAGAAUCCGCCGCCCUUCGGCUAUACCUGGGGUUUUGCGGACAACGGCAACCGCGCCGCCGAAUCGGUACUGGAGAUAUCGCCCAACAUCAACUACACGGUCAGCGGGGAGUCGAUGCCCUAUCUAUUAUCGACGGAUGGAUCAUUGGCAGUUCAAAAGGAUGUCAAAGGGGUCACAGCUGGCGGCAAAAAUAAUGUCGUUCGUCGCAUGUUUGUCGUGAAUGAUCCUUCAUUUCCUGGAACACAAAGAGUUAUCACUGCCGGAGGAGCAUCGACGGUGGUUAAGAAGCAGGACAACAACCAGCAGGUCCUGAGUCUCGACAAGAACUAUGUGCUGGUGGAUCCGGCCACGGCCGCAGCAGCAGCAGCCGCUGCUGGUGGGGAUUCGGGUCUCGCCCACCACCAUACUUUGACCAACGGCAGCAUUGUUGAUGCGAAGACCGGACAGACGGUGCUAACCGCCGGAUCUGCGGCGGCAAAGUCGCACUUCAGCUCGAUCGGGGCACUGCAUCUCACGCAAGAGGAGUGCAACGAGAUCCUGAUCAAGCGCGCCAUCGCUGCCGGCCACCAUCAGACGCACACGAUCACCGCUGCCGACGGAUCCCAUCACCAUGCGUCCGGCGGGACACCAAUUCAAGUACAGAAAGUUAUACAAGGACUAGAGGAUAACGAGGACUCGCAAGGCGAAGCACCCAACUUGAAGUUGGAGCCAGGCACAUUAGAGUUGUCCCCUAAGACCGAACUACAGGAAUCAAUGCAUUUCAGCGAAACGGACGCCACAAUCAAGAAGGAACGCCCGUACAGUUGCGACGAGUGCGGCAAGUCCUUUCUGCUCAAGCACCAUUUGACAACCCACGCACGCGUGCACACAGGUGAACGCCCCCACAUCUGCACUCAUUGCGGCAAGAGCUUCGCGCACAAGCACUGUCUCAACACUCACCUGCUGCUUCACUCCACGGAGAGACCUUAUCAGUGCCAGGAGUGCAAGAAGAGCUUCACCCUCAAGCACCAUCUGCUGACCCAUUCCCGGGUCCACAGUCGAGAGCGACCGUUCGUCUGCCAGGAGUGCGGACGCUCAUUUCCGCUUAAGCGACACCUGGUCACGCACAGCAAGUUCCACGCCGGCGAACGACCGUAUGUUUGCGAGGAAUGUGGUGAGAGCUUUGCGCAGGAAAACCACCUGAUUAUGCACUCGCGCUUCCACGGUUCAUUGAAUCCAUUUGUUUGCGCCGAAUGUGGAGCUUCAUUUCCACGCAAGUUCCAAUUGGUUAACCACGGACGUAUUCACGGCAAGAUUCCCCAUUCGUGCACCGUAUGCGGCAAAGAGUUUCUACAAAAGCGAACGCUAGUUUCCCACAUGAGGCGGGUACAUACCGGCGAACAGGCACAUCCCUGUGUCAGCUGUGGCGAGGGAUUCCUCACCAAGGCCGAACUGCACCAGCAUGUGAGGACGGCGCACAAUGGCGUCAAUCCUAACACGAGCAGUGCCACCAUCAUAGCAAAUCAACAGCUACAGCAGGCCCAUCAUCAUCAGGCCGGACAGCAAACGCAUCCGCAGACCAUAACCGUGGUGAGCAAUCCGGGUAACUCUACGUUGCUGACUGUAUCCACCACGGAUGCCAAUGGCGUGGCACGACCGCAGUUUGUGUGCCGCGAGUGCGGUAGUGCUUUCAAUAGCCGAGAAGCCUUGGCACUUCACUUGCGCCUUCACACUGGCGACAAGAGCCUAAUGACAGAUCUGUGUGCCUUGACAGCCGCGCUGCCGGGUCAUUUCUUGAGCACGGCUAGCCUGAAUCCGGGCACCGUAGUCACGGCCAAUCCGAAUCUGGUGGGCCAGAGCCCUGUGCCAGUGCAGAUCAUAUCGUCCACCGGUCAGGUGAUGUCGCAGACCACGCUGGUGCAGGCCGCCAACUCGACCCAUCCACAAGCCGUAGUCACUGCGGUGCCUACGAUGCCCGUGCACGGCCAGCAGCAGCAUCUGCAGCAUGUGGCCCAACAGCAGCAGCAACAGCAACAACAGCAGCAACAACAGCAGCAUGUUGUCUCCGUGGCGCCGGCCAACAAACCGAAGUCGCAUUUCUGCGCCAGCUGCGGCAAGGGAUUCGCCGCCAAACACGGACUCAUGCAGCACAAUCGGCGACACCCGAACGGCGGCUGCACGGUGCGCACACACGUGUGCGAGUGCGGCAAGGCCUUCUUCCAGAAGAACCACCUGAUGCUGCACCAGCGCCAGCAUCUGGAGACGAAGCCAGCCAUAUCGCAGCAACAGCUUGUUGUACCAACUACUUCUUACUAAGAAUUAAACGAAACAGAAAAACUGAAAAAAGAUAAAUAAAACCACAAAUGAACAUUAAAACCUAAUCAAACGAAAACCAACUCGAGCGACAUCCAUUUGCACAAGCGCACACUCACAUGUUUGAAUGUAAAUCCAAACUCAGAUGCGAAAGCUACUGGAGACUUUUGAUCCAUUCCGUUCGGAUCUGUGUGAGAUGUGUGUGUGUGCGGGUGUGUCUGCCUAUGUGAAGGUGUGUCUGUCUAUGCGUGUCUCUUACCAAAUCUAUAAAUUAAAAGAAACCCAUAACUCUGCAAUGAAUACAAGCUAAUCAUAUAGUAUCAAAUCAAAUUCCAUUCAAAGGCCUCAGUUUGCGCGUUUAGGAGGCCGCCGCCCAGCAGCAACUGGCGACUGCCAGCGAACAGCAGCAGGUGCAGGUGCAGAUAAUGCCUGAUGGCCAGAUUCACGGAAAGGU